UACGUAGGGUCCGAGCGUUGUCCGGAAUUACUGGGCGUAAAGAGCUCGUAGGUGGUUUGUCGCGUUGUUCGUGAAAACUCACAGCUCAACUGUGGGCGUGCGGGCGAUACGGGCAGACGUAGAGUACUGCAGGGGAGACUGGAAUUCCUGGUGUAGCGGUGGAAUGCGCAGAUAUCAGGAGGAACACCGGUGGCGAAGGCGGGUCUCUGGGCAGUAACUGACGCUGGAGGAGCGAAAGCGUGGGGAGCGAACAGGAUUAG
rnacentral:rRNA from 1 species